GAAAAAUGAUCUCAUGAGAAAGUUCUCUAAUCUGAAACAAACCUGCCCUAAAGACUGGAAGAAGUUUGAAUCCAGUUGGUACUUCCUGUCUACUGAGACUAAAACCUGGGGGAGAGCAAAGAUGACUGUCUGGAGAGAGGAGCAGACCUGGUGAUCAUCAACAGUGAUAAGGAACAGGAGUUUCUCUUCCACCUCAACAAGGGUUUCUGGAUUGGUCUGACUGACACUGUUACUGAGGGGACCUGGAAAUGGGUGGACGGCAACCCACUGACCACCCCAAAGUACUGGGGGAGUGGACAGCCUAAUGGUGGUGGAGUGGAGAACUGUGUGUUGUUAACUCACAGUUCAUCAGACCAAGGACCAUGGCAUGACUAUCCGUGUUCAUUUAACCGUUCCUGGAUCUGUGAGAUAUAGUUCUUUCUCACUUUUAGUUAUGAUGUUGAUUGUCAUGCUGAAAGUCAUGAUACCAGCUACAGGGCCUUCAGAAAGUAUUCACUGCCUAGACCUUUUCCACAUUUUGUUGUUUACACGCUGUAUUUUUUAAUCGAUUAAAUUGAGAUUUUACUGUCACUGUCCUACACACAAUAACUCAUAAUGUCAAAGUGGAAAUAUGUUUUUCUUUUCUUUUUUACAAAUGAAUAAAAGAUUUAAAUCUGAAAUGUCUUGAGUCAGAAAGUAUUCAACCCCUUUGUUAUGGCAAGCCUAAACACGUUCAGAAGUAAAAUGUGCUUCCGUUGACACAUAAUAGGUUGCAUAGACUCACUGUGUGAAAUACAGAGUACAGUAUAAAAUAGAAAGGAGGACCA